UACGUAGGGGGCAAGCGUUGUCCGGAUUUAUUGGGCGUAAAGAGCGUGUAGGCGGCCUGACAGGUCUGCUGUGAAAACUCGAGGCUCAACCUCGAGAUGUCGGCGGAAACCGUCUGGCUAGAGUCCGGAAGAGGAGAGUGGAAUUCCUGGUGUAGCGGUGAAAUGCGCAGAUAUCGGGAGGAACACCUGUGGCGAAAGCGGCUCACUGGACCACAACUGACGCUGAGGCGCGAAAGCUAGGGGAGCAAACAGG
rnacentral:rRNA from 1 species